rnacentral:rRNA from 1 species
GUGCCUAAUACAUGCAAGUCGAGCGAACAGACGAGGAGCUUGCUCCUCUGACGUUAGCGGCGGACGGGUGAGUAACACGUGGAUAACCUACCUAUAAGACUGGGAUAACUUCGGGAAACCGGAGCUAAUACCGGAUAAUAUAUUGAACCGCAUGGUUCAAUAGUGAAAGACGGUUUUGCUGUCACUUAUAGAUGGAUCCGCGCCGCAUUAGCUAGUUGGUAAGGUAACGGCUUACCAAGGCAACGAUGCGUAGCCGACCUGAGAGGGUGAUCGGCCACACUGGAACUGAGACACGGUCCAGACUCCUACGGGAGGCAGCAGUAGGGAAUCUUCCGCAAUGGGCGAAAGCCUGACGGAGCAACGCCGCGUGAGUGAUGAAGGUCUUCGGAUCGUAAAACUCUGUUAUUAGGGAAGAACAAAUGUGUAAGUAACUAUGCACGUCUUGACGGUACCUAAUCAGAAAGCCACGGCUAACUACGUGCCAGCUGCCGCGGUAAUACGUAGGUGGCAAGCGUUAUCCGGAAUUAUUGGGCGUAAAGCGCGCGUAGGCGGUUUUUUAAGUCCGAUGUGAAGCCCACGGCUCAAUCCGUGGAGGGUCAUUGGAAACUGGAAAACUUGAGUGCAGAAGAGGAAAGUGGAAUUCCAUGUGUAGCGGUGAAAUGCGCAGAGAUAUGGAGGAACACCAGUGGCGAAGGCGACUUUCUGGUCUGUAACUGACGCUGAUGUGCGAAA